rnacentral:lncRNA from 1 species
GAAAAGUGCUGACAGAAUCACAAACAAAAUUUCCUGAGGCGUGUAGAGUCAUUGUCCUUAAGGACUUAUCCGCGGUGUAUUGCGCAAGUCCCCCAGGAUACAACAGGAACUUCUCAGAAAUGUCUGAGGAUCUCAAAACUAGCAAGGAUCUCUUAAAAAGAGAUAGAAAGAAACCCAGGAUAAUUUUUAAGAAAUAAAAGGAAGGAGAGAAUGAGAGAAGGAGAAUAGAUAACGAAAGAAUGAGAGAAUGAGAGAACUCAAUAGUGUGAGAGAAAGAGAACACUCGAUUUUUGAUGAUUUCUUGAAUGAGAGCAGCGGGUCUAUUUAUAGAGAAGAAAAGGUAUAAGAAAAAGGCCCAUAGACCAGAUUUGGUGGAAACUGCCCCCGGAGUUCGCAGCUCACGUCGUGGUCAAAGUUGUUCACGAAAUCUUUAUCCCGAAACUUGGGGAAAAGAAAAUUUGAACGUGCAGAGGAUAACGUUCAUCACGCAACGUUCAUGCGCUGCUUUCGGAAGCAAUAUUUUGCAAUAUAAUAUAAGUUUAUAACAAUCCCCCACAUAUUGCAAAAGAUGAGAAACAAAGAUUUAAAGAAAGAAAAGAAGAA